rnacentral:rRNA from 1 species
UACGUAGGGUGCGAGCGUUGUCCGGAAUUAUUGGGCGUAAAGAGCUCGUAGGCGGCUUGUCACGUCGGGUGUGAAAGCCCGGGGCUUAACCCCGGGUCUGCAUUCGAUACGGGCUGGCUAGAGUGUGGUAGGGGAGAUCGGAAUUCCUGGUGUAGCGGUGAAAUGCGCAGAUAUCAGGAGGAACACCGGUGGCGAAGGCGGAUCUCUGGGCCAUUACUGACGCUGAGGAGCGAAAGCGUGGGGAGCGAACAGG